GACGUAGGUGGCAAGCGUUGUCCGGAGUUAUUGGGCGUAAAGCGCGCGCAGGCGGUCUCUUAAGUCUGAUGUGAAAGCCCACGGCUCAACCGUGGAGGGUCAUUGGAAACUGGGAGACUUGAGUGCAGAAGAGAAGAGUGGAAUUCCACGUGUAGCGGUGAAAUGCGUAGAGAUGUGGAGGAACACCAGUGGCGAAGGCGACUCUUUGGUCUGUAACUGACGCUAAGGCGCGAAAGCGUGGGGAGCAAACAGG
rnacentral:rRNA from 1 species